CGUCGCGCGCGCACACCCUGCCCGACACAGGGAGGCAACCAGACUAGCCGGCUCCGGGCCGCGCAGCCGCCUCGCCGCUUUCCCACGCUAGGUCAAGACCUCGUCCUGCCUCUGACUACCCGGGCUUCGCGUACGGCAUCCCCUCGGGCAGAGGCCUCGUGACGAACCUCGCGCCCUCCGCCCUGGGAAGGCUGUCCUUCCCCGUCUCCGCGCUGGUGGCGGCGUCCGCCGUGGACCAUUCCCUUGCCCCCCCUCCCGGACGUUUCCUCCCGGCUCGGUUCCCCCGCAACCUGGUAGGUUUGGGGCAAUGGGCCUCUCAACUCCCCCGUGGGGCCUUCGGAAGGGAGCCGCGGGGCAUGUCCAACCUGCAGCACUCACGGGGAGCCCAUGUAUCCCAAAGGAGCUAUGACAUAUGGCCCAGUAUCUCUGCAAGAGGACAUCACCAAGUGCCAGUUCCAGAGACUGGCUGCCCCACGUUUACAGAGGACUUUCUACCUCAGCCUCACUGAAAGUCUCAUACCUUCCAGCCUCAUCAGACGCUUGGAAAAGCCUGGCCUUGCAUGGUUCCUGACCCACCAUACAAUUAGGCCUCAAGGCCUAGUAAGGCCUCAAUGCUACUACAAGGGGGAAUGAGUCCCUGACUCGACUGUAAAACUGUCUUCCCAUGAUCUUGGGCUACUUUCCUGACAUCCAGCACUGUGAUUACACAUUUAUAGACUGUC